rnacentral:lncRNA from 1 species
UUGUUUGGACUUGUCAAGAUUAAAGGAAAUUGGAAUUAUCCAUGAACAAAUGAACUGUCAGUGAGUCAGAUACUGAAGUCAGAUACUGAAGUCAGAUACUGAAGUUGGGGUUAGUGUUUUAGAUACUGAAGUUAGGGUUUAUGAAGUUAGGGUUAGUGUUUUAGAUACUGGAGUCAGAUACUGAAGUUGGUGUUAGGUGUUUUAGCUACUGGAGUCAGAUACUGAAUUCAGAUCUCUAGUUCUCUGAGUGGGGGGUAGUGUUUUAAGAUCUGAAGUUAGGGUUUGAAGUUAGGGUAGUGUUUUAGAUACUGGAGUCAGAUACUGAAUGGGGGUUAGUGUUUAGAUACUGGAGUCAGAUACGUAAGUUGGGGUUAUGUUUUUAGAUACUGGAGUCAGAUACUGAAGUUGGGGUUAGUGUUUUAGAUACUGGAGUCAGAUACUGAAGUUGGGGUUAGUGUUUUAGAUACUGGAGUCAGAUACUGAGUUGGGGUUAGUGUUUUAGAUACUAUUGUUGAGGUUUAUGAAGUUAGGGUUAGUGUUUUAGAUACUGGAGUCAGAUACUGAAUCAGAUACUGAAGUCAGAUACUGAAGUCCGAUACUGAAGUUGGAGUUAGUGUGUUAGAUACUGAUGUUAGGGUUUAUGAAGUUAGGGUUAGUGUUUUAGAUCUGGAGUCAGAUACUGAAGUUGGGGUUAGUUUUUUAGAUACUGGAGUCAGAUACUGAAGUCAGAUACUGAAGUCUGAUACUGAAGUUGGGGGUAGUGUGUUAGAUACUGAUGUUAGGUUUAAUGAAGUUAGGGUUAGUGUUUUAGAUACUGGAGUCAGAUACUGAAGUUAGUGUUUAUGUGUUAGAUAUUGGAUUUGGGUUAGUGUUUUAGAUACUGAAGUUAAGGUCAGACUGAGGUUCUGAAGUUAGUAUAGACUGAGAUACUGAAGUUACAUUAGACUGAGGUAAGCUGUAGUUUGUACGACGAUAACAACAGCAGCAACAGGAAACCACAGCUUGCUAGUGUGACAGUUUGAUAUUUCUCUACACCUACACCAACCACAACGUUGACAGGCGUACAGUGCAUUCGGAAAGUAUUUAUUACGUUACAGCCUUGUUCUAAAAUGGAUUACAUUUUUUCCCCUCGUCAA